CAUAUACUAAAAACACUAUACUAAAAUCAGAAUGAUACAGGGAAGAUUAGCAUGACCCCUGAACAAGGUUGACAGACACAUUUGUGAAGUGUUCCUUAUUUUU